UAGUUCAAUCAGAGGUUAAAUUAAAAGUGUAUUAUUUGGAAAAUAUUUUUAAUUUCAAUCAAUUUGGUAAAUGUUCUGAAAUCUUAAAUCUUUGUGAAAAAUAUUUAAUUGUAUUUGAUUUUAUAAAAGAUUUAGAUUUGAUUUAUUUUAAUAAAAAAGAUUAAACCUGCAAUUUUUGGAUUCAGUUGGUUUCUGUCAAAACUCUAC
rnacentral:lncRNA from 1 species